rnacentral:rRNA from 1 species
CCCUUAGAUGUUCUGGGCUGCACGCGCGCUACACUGAAGCGUUCAACGAGUAUUCACCUUGCCCGGGAGGGUUGGGUAAUCUUUUGAAAACGCUUCGUGAUGGGGAUAGAUUAUUGCAAUUAUUAAUCUUCAACGAGGAAUUCCUAGUAAGCGCGAGUCAUCAGCUCGUGCUGAUUACGUCCCUGCCCUUUGUACACACCGCCCGUCGCUACUACUGAUUGGAUGUUUAAGCGAGGUUCUCGAACUGCUAGUGACUGAUCUUCGGUGAGGUCGCAGUGUGGGAAGUGAUCCUAGCUUUGGUGUCUAGAGGAAGUAAAAGUCGUAACA